CGCAGCCGCGGUAAUUCCAGCUCCAAUAGCGUAUAUUAAAGUUGUUGCAGUUAAAAAGCUCGUAGUUGAAUUUCGGGACCAUCAUAUCGGUCGUGCCUCGGUACGUACUGGUAUUGUUGGUUUCUCCCUUCUGACGAACCAUGAUGUCAUUUAUUUGGUGUUGUGGGGAAUCAGGACUGUUACUUUGAAAAAAUUAGAGUGUUUAAAGCAGGCUCACGCUUGAAUACAUUAGCAUGGAAUAAUGAAAUAGGACGUUUGAUUCUAUUUUGUUGGUUUCUAGGAUCGACGUAAUGAUUAAUAGGGAUAGUUGGGGGCAUUAGUAUUCAAUUGUCAGAGGUGAAAUUCUUGGAUUUAUUGAAGACUAACUACUGCGAAAGCAUUUGCCAAGGAUGUUUUCAUUAAUCAAGAACGAAAGUUAAGGGGAUCGAAGACGAUCAGAUACCGUCGUAGUCUUAACCAUAAACUAUGCCGACUAGGGAUCGGAUGAUGUUAAUUUUUUAAUUGUACUCAUUCGGCGUCC
rnacentral:rRNA from 1 species